rnacentral:rRNA from 1 species
UACAGAGGGUGCGAGCGUUGUCCGGAAUCACUGGGCGUAAAGGGCGCGUAGGCGGCUCGGUAAGCGUGCGGUGAAAGCCCGGGGCUCAACCCCGGGUCGGCCGUGCGAACUGCAGAGCUGGAGCACUGUAGAGGCAGGUGGAAUUCCGGGUGUAGCGGUGGAAUGCGUAGAGAUCCGGAAGAACACCGGUGGCGAAGGCGGCCUGCUGGGCAGUUGCUGACGCUGAGGCGCGACAGCUAGGGGAGCGAACGGG